rnacentral:rRNA from 1 species
GGCGACCGGCGCACGGGUGAGUAACGCGUAUGCGACCUGCCCGUUGCAGGGGGAUAAUCGGGAGAAAUCCCGUCUAAUACCGCGUAAUGCCGCGGGGCUGCAUGGCCCUGCGCCCAAAGGAAGCGAUUCCGGCAACGGAUGGGCAUGCGUGACAUUAGCUAGUUGGCGGGGCAACGGCCCACCAAGGCGACGAUGUCUAGGGGUUCUGAGAGGAAGGUCCCCCACACUGGUACUGAAACACGGACCAGACUCCUACGGGAGGCAGCAGUGAGGAAUAUUGGUCAAUGGGCGCGAGCCUGAACCAGCCAAGUCGCGUGAGGGAUGACGGCCCUACGGGUUGUAAACCUCUUUUGUCGGGGAGCAAAUUCCGCCACGUGUGGCGGAGUCGAGAGUACCCGAAGAAAAAGCAUCGGCUAACUCCGUGCCAGCAGCCGCGGUAAUACGGAGGAUGCGAGCGUUAUCCGGAUUUAUUGGGUUUAAAGGGUGCGUAGGCGGACUGUCAAGUCAGCGGUAAAAUACGGGGGCUCAACCUCCGCCCGCCGUUGAAACUGACGGUCUUGAGUGGGCGAGAAGUAUGCGGAAUGCGUGGUGUAGCGGUGAAAUGCAUAGAUAUCACGCAGAACUCCGAUUGCGAAGGCAGCAUACCGGCGCCCAACUGACGCUGAAGCACGAAAGCGUGGGUAUCGAACAGGAUUAGAUACCCUGGUAGUCCACGCAGUAAACGAUGAAUACUAGCUGUCCGGGGCGAAUGAGCCCUGGGUGGCACAGCGAAAGCGUUAAGUAUUCCACCUGGGGAGUACGCCGGCAACGGUGAAACUCAAAGGAAUUGACGGGGGCCCGCACAAGCGGAGGAACAUGUGGUUUAAUUCGAUGAUACGCGAGGAACCUUACCCGGGCUCAAACGACACAGGAACGUACCUGAAAGGGUUCGGCUCUACGGAGCCUGUGUCGAGGUGCUGCAUGGUUGUCGUCAGCUCGUGCCGUGAGGUGUCGGCUUAAGUGCCAUAACGAGCGCAACCCCCAUCGACAGUUGCUAACAGGUCAGGCUGAGGACUCUGUCGAGACUGCCGGCGCAAGCUGCGAGGAAGGCGGGGAUGACGUCAAAUCAGCACGGCCCUUACGUCCGGGGCGACACACGUGUUACAAUGGCAGGUACAGCGGGAAGCCACCUGGCGACAGGGAGCGGAACCCGAAAGCCUGUCUCAGUUCGGAUUGGAGUCUGCAACCCGACUCCAUGAAGCUGGAUUCGCUAGUAAUCGCGCAUCAGCCACGGCGCGGUGAAUACGUUCCCGGGCCUUGUACACACCGCCCGUCAAGCCAUGGAAGCCGGGGGUGCCUGAAGUGCGCUGCCGCGAGGAGCGCCCUAGGGUAAAACCGGUGACUGGGGCUAAGUCGUAACAAGGUAGC